rnacentral:rRNA from 1 species
GAUGAGUUUGAUCCUGGCUCAGAUUGAACGCUGGCGNCAUGCCUUACACAUNCAAGUCGAACGGUAACAGGUCUUCGGACGCUGACGAGUGGCGAACGGGUGAGUAAUACAUCGGAACGUGCCCAGUCGUGGGGGAUAACUACUCGAAAAGAGUAGCUAAUACCGCAUACGACUGAGGAUGAAAGCGGGGGACCUUCGGGNNCGCGCGAUUGGAGCGGCCGAUGGCAGAUUAGGUAGUUGGUGGGUAAAAGCUUACCAGCCGAGNCUNUACUGGUCUGAGAGGACGACCAGCCACANNGGACUGAGACACGCNCNAUCCUACGGGAGGNGCAGUGGGGAAUUUUGGACAAUGGGGAAAGCCUGAUCCAGCAAUGCCGGUCAGGAUGAAGGCCUUCGGGUNGUAAACUGCUUUUGUCGGAANGAAAAAGCUUCUCCUAAUACGAGAGCCCCAUGACGGUACCGUAAGAAUAAGCACCGGCUAACUACGGCCAGCACCGCGGUAAUAGUAGGGUGNNGCGUUAAUCGGAANNUGGGCGUAAAGCGUGCGCAGGCGGUUAUGUAAGCAGAUGUGAAAUCCCCGGGCUCAACCUGGGAACUGCAUUUGUGAUGCAUGGCUAGAGUACGGUAGAGGGGGAUGGAAUUCCGCGUGUAGCAGUGNNUGNCGUAGAUAUGCGGAGGAACACCGAUGGCGAAGGCAAUCCCNUGGACCUGUACUGACGCUCAUGCACGAAAGCGUGGGGAGCAAACAGGAUUAGAUACCCUGGUAGUC